UUUUGUCAAACUGUCAGUGAAUUCCUCAUAGCAUCUUCUUUGGGGUUACUCAGGCACCAGAACUCUUCACAAAACAAAAAAAAAUUCUACCAAGGAAUCCCUUUACCUAAUGGCAUCUCACAAGCCUACAGACGCGAGAAAAGGCCUCAUGACACAUCAAGAGAGCACCUA
rnacentral:lncRNA from 1 species